AAUGUAAAAGAAGUUUUCUCCUCAAAGUCUAGAUCCAGCAAUUCUUCCUCGCUUCAUACCUAUUUUAAGAAAAAAAAAUUUCUCCUCCAUCUGAUAUUCUGGCAGAAAAUUAGGGGUUAUUCAGAGAAGAUUUAUUCUGCAAUCUUGGAAAUAUUUCUGCAUCGCAGGAUGAAAAUCUAUGUAAACAAAAAUCUAUUAAGAAGGAAUGGAAGAAGAACAUCCAGUGGUGGUAAUAAUCUCGGUCAAUUUUGUUUUUCGAUUUGAACCCUAACAAUUUCAUUUUGGGCGGGAUGAAAUCAAACGAAAAUUCUUUUGGGAGGGAUUCCUGCUUGGCGUUUUGGAACAACUAUAAGUUCAACCCUAAGCAAUUCAGAGAUGUGAAGAGAUAUAUCUUUUUUGGGGGAUUAGUAGUUCAGAGAUCAAAAAACAUCCAAGCCUACACAACACAAACUUCUAGCAACAUGUAGCUUAAAAUUCGAUAACAGCAGUUGCCUAUUCGAAAUGGAGGAGCUGUUACCCAUCUUUUUUUCUAGAAACAAAUGGGAUACAGUGAAGGAUGUUAUCUCCCUGGAUGGCAACUAGUCUGAAUAGUAAGGAAGUUGCGGCUUUUUAACAACUUGGAUGACUGAGCUUCUUCUCAAUGCAUCGACAGUUUGCAUAGUUCUAGAGAUGUUCCCCCAAAAGUUGAAUUGUUGGGCAGAGUUUAAGAAUUCUUUGCGACUCUAACAAUGUUGCAGGCUAAAGGAAUUAAUGUUCCCAACAAUUUAGGGUAUUGGGAUCCCAGCGACGCCUUCGUCCUUUGGUCUUUUGCUGUUUGAGGAACUUCAGGAAAAAGGCUGUUGCACUUGCAAGUUACUGAUGGAUGACCACUACGACUUCAUGAUUGAGGAAAUCUUUGUUCCAAGUGCGAUGUUGUGACAUAGAGAUGAUGUUGUGCUUGGGGAUGUUUCAAGAGGUGAGUUUACCAAGUGGCCCAAGACCUAUGCAACCACUGUAGCCUGUAGGAGAGCGAUCAAGUUAGAGUUGCAGUGACAGCAGAUUGAUCACUUUUUAAAUUUUCAAGAUGUAACUUGGAGUUGGAGUUGUUAGGAUAUGUCUUCCAUUUAUGUUCGAAUAUUCUAUUUUCUUUAGAAAAUAGUUAUAAAGUUAAUUAAUAAAGUCAAUUUGUUUAAUA